rnacentral:rRNA from 1 species
AUUGAACGCUGGCGGCAGGCCUAACACAUGCAAGUCGAGCGGACAAAGGGAGAUUGCUCUUGGAUUCAGCGGCGGACGGGCGAGUAAUGCCCAGGAAUCUGCCCGGCAUUGGGGGAUAACGUCCGUUAACGGGCCCUAAUCCAGCAUACGAUCUGAUGGAGAAAGUGGGGGUUCUUUAGAGCUAAAGCUAUCUGCUGAGACUUGGUCGGAUUAGCUAGUUGGUGUGGUAAAGGCCUACCAAGGCGACGAUCCGUAACUGGUCUGAGAGGGUGAUCAGUCACACUGGAACUGAGACACGGUCCAGACUCCUACGGGAGGCAGCAGUGGGGAAUAUUGCACAAUGGGCGAAAGCCUGAUGCAGCCAUGCCGCGUGAGUGAUGAAGGUCUUCGGAUUGUAAAACACUUUAAGUUGGGAGGAAGGGCAGUGAGUUAAUACCUUGCUGUUUUGACGUUACCUACAGAGUAAGCACCGGCUAACUUCGUG